GCCGGCUUUUAUCAAUGAACACUGGCCGAUAGGCUGGACUUGUAAUCAGUAGGUCCCGGGUUCGAUUCCUGGUGCCGGCACCA
rnacentral:tRNA from 1 species